AUUGAACGCUGGCGGCAGGCUUAACACAUGCAAGUCGAGCGGUAACAGAGAGUAGCUUGCUACUUUGCUGACGAGCGGCGGACGGGUGAGUAACGCGUAGAAAACUGCCCAGUAGUGGGGGAUAGCCCGGUGAAAACCGGAUUAAUACCGCAUACGCUCUACGGAGGAAAGGGGGCUUCGGCUCUCGCUAUUGGAUGUGUCUGCGUGAGAUUAGCUAGUUGGUGAGGUAAGGGCUCACCAAGGCGACGAUCUCUAGCUGGUCUGAGAGGAUGAUCAGCCACACUGGGACUGAGACACGGCCCAG
rnacentral:rRNA from 1 species